GAAGUAAGUGUGUAAUUCUGUACAGAAAAUACUUGCUCCGCAGAAUGGAGACACACACUGACAGUUUCAUUCCACUUGUAUCCUAUUUCCUUCCUAUUCAGCUCUUGGAGCUAUUUACACUUGUAAAAGAAGAGUCCUGAUGAGUCUAAGGCCCUUGCAACCCUAAGCUUCAGCACCACAACAGGGAAGAAAUGCAGAAAAAGACAAGGUUGUGGCAGUCAUCUACAACUUGAGGAGUGGUUUAUUUUGUACGUGUGGCUUGAUUCCAGUUUGCCUGCCCUGCCAGUAUUUCCACCUAGGAGCAGGGAAACAGAAAGUAGGUUUUCUCCCACCAGAGCCUCAUUUCUUAAAUUUCCUUUUCUUAGUGAAGAAAAUAAUUAUCUAUUUAUUAAAAUGGGAGAUAGAAGGACAAUGAAAAUGAUACCCUUAACAGAUAAGGUAACACUCUUGGUAGCGUUCGCUUUAAUACCAGUUUUGGGUAGACCUGUGUAUUUCUGACAGGAAGUUUUCCCACCUGUAAAAAAAGUCAUGGCUACCUCCCUCAAAAUGCCAUCUGGCUGGAAUACCCAUUUUGUGCUUUCUUCAUAUAGUUUAUUCUUUUCUUCAUAUACUUGAUUUUCUUCAUUGCUAUUCUAAUAAUUUAACUUUCUCAUAGAUGUAGCAUUAAAUUGCAUACUAAUUACAGGCAUGCUAUUGUAGAAUAAAUUCAGUUCUAAGUAUGUGACAGAAAAGAGACUGAAAACAGUGCCUAAUAAGAGCUCUUGAAGUAACGUCCUAACACCACACUAUUACAUAAGAAAUAAUUAAUGAAAAACAAACAACGCAGUUUUUUAAUAUACUUAGCUCACAUGAGUGUUGAUCAACUGUUGGGAUAAAUGAUACAAAAUAAAGCCUAAAAUCAAAAGGCCACAUAAGGUCUGAACAGAAAGAUAUUGCUGAGUACUGCGAAUAGUGGCAAUGUAUCAGUUUCCCACAGGAAAAGAGCAAAGUCCCAAGGCUAAUCUUGUACUAGCUCCUGCUGCAUGGUGAUUACUCACAUUCAGAGUGUGGCUAGUAAGGAUUUUUCUUCCCCAGGACAAACAAGGCUAAAGUUUGUAAUUUUUCCUCAGUUCCACAAGAGCUCCAUACUACUUCUCUUUGACUGAGAAAGCAUCCAUCUACUUUUCCUUCCUGGCAUUUGUAUCCAAAUUGAUGGUAUCUUGAUUGCAUUGCAUCUAGAUGCUGCCCCUUGUUUCAUAAACAAGAAAACUUUCAUUCUAGCACCUGUCAAAUGUUAGCCAUUAGUUCAUCAUUAUGGAACUGUGUGCCAUCAAAAACAGAUUAUGGUAUUCCAAAACUUAACUCCCAUGAAAUGUAAAGAUGAACAAUGCUACUUCCCAGUGACCUGGGACAAAAGAGGCCUGGGGUUCCAAGUGAGGAUACAGAACUAUUAGCCAUGACUCCCAGCAGUCAUGUUAUUAGAACACUUCAUUCUCUUCAUCUUUUGUUCCAUUUCUCUGUGUUUGUACAGGUGAGGAGAUAAGCUGAAACUCACCAGGAUUACUUUUCUGCACGUGUAGUUACAGCAGUUGGACCGAGAUGAGCCAUCAUCACCGAGGUGCAGAGCAGCAGACUGGUGAGAUCAUUCCUUUUACACUCACUCACACAGAGGCAGAAUCAGUUUCCAAGCCCAACUUUCUAUUUUCUCCGAUCCGCGCAGGAGAAAGAGGCUAAAAGUUGAGUUACAGCAUUCCUUCUUGCAAGUGGCAGCCAGCACAAGACAGCAUUACAAUUCACAAAACUGUGUUUGACAACAUUAAGUGAUCUCCCAGCAACAAAAAAAGGCGUUUUCCUCUUUCCUGAACUCUUGAGAAAACUUUCCUGAGGGAUUUCCCAUGGGAAACGAUCCCAGUUGCACAUAACAGGCAGUGCGGUGGUCCCUGCAGCCGGGCACCCCUGCACGCUAUUUUUCCAUGCAGCUGCCCACCUGGCUCCUCUCACUUCCCUCAGCCCUCCCAGCUGCACAAACAGAGGGGCACGCAGCCAUCUCAACGCGCUUCCUCCUGCGGCCCUGCAGGGCGGGCCGGCCGGCCGUCCUGCUCGUACAGCAACUGCUUUAACGGCCCGAGACAUCCAGCUCUUCCCCAUUACGUGCACCACGGGACCGGGCUGCUCCCCGCAGCGCGCACGCGGCUCGGGCCCUACCGGGCAGCGCUCAGCAGCGCGCUCAGCGCCUGUGUGGCCACGAAGGCUGGAAGCGAGCGCGCCCGCUCUGCGCUGAGGUCUGCGUUCGGUCUCUAUUCAGCACGUGUAAACGUCAGUGCGGGGUGAAAAGAGAAACUGCAACGAAUGUCUGGAAAGCUGAGCGCUCAGUCCUCGGCAGGAAUCCGGACUCUGCUAGAGGCUCCUCAGACACCCGGCAAUCACAGAGCCGUUGAGGCUGGAGACGAGCACUGAGACGGGCACGGCCGCUAAGCGCGCCCCUCAGCGCCGCACCUGCGCGGCUGUCCCCACCACCCCCCGGCAGUCCUCCG
rnacentral:lncRNA from 1 species